AGCCUCUGGAACAUACAAGAGGA
rnacentral:snRNA from 1 species